GAUGAACGCUGGCGGCGUGCCUAAUACAUGCAAGUCGAGCGGACGGACGAGAAGCUUGCUUCUCUGAUGUUAGCGGCGGACGGGUGAGUAACACGUGGCUAACCUACCUAUAAGACUGGGAUAACUUCGGGAAACCGGAGCUAAUACCGGAUAAUAUUUUGAACCGCAUGGUUCAAAAGUGAAAGACGGUCUUGCUGUCACUUAUAGAUGGAUCCGCGCUGCAUUAGCUAGUUGGUAAGGUAACGGCUUACCAAGGCAACGAUGCAUAGCCGACCUGAGAGGGUGAUCGGCCACACUGGAACUGAGACACGGUCCAGACUCCUACGGGAGGCAGCAGUAGGGAAUCUUCCGCAAUGGGCGAAAGCCUGACGGAGCAACGCCGCGUGAGUGAAGAAGGUCUUCGGAUCGUAAAGCUCUGUUAUUAGGGAAGAACAUAUGUGUAAGUAACUGUGCACAUCUUGACGUUACCUAAUCAGAAAGCCACGGCUAACUACGUG
rnacentral:rRNA from 1 species